AGGACAGAGGACACACAGUUUAACAUGAUGGACUAUAGGACAGGACUGCUGCUGCUCACUGUCUGCUGGGCAGGUGUUGAUGGUCAGACUCUGACAGAAUCUGAACCAGUGACUAAAAGGCCUGGAGAAUCUCACAGAUUGACCUGUAUAGCCUCUGGAUUCACAUUAAGGAGCUACCCUAUGAACUGGAUCAGACAGGCUCCUGGGAAAGGACUGGAGUGGAUCGCUUAUAUCAGCACAAAUAGUUCUCCGAUCUCUUACUCCCAGUCGGUCCAGGGUAGAUUCACUAUCUCCAGAGAUGACUCCAGCAGUAAAGUGUAUCUGCAGAUGAACAGUCUGAAGGCCGAGGACACAGCAGUGUAUUACUGUGCCAGAAGAGACACAGUGAGAGACAGUAACAGGAGAAUAACAAACUACUUCCUCUAUUUACCACCACCUAUGGGAAUAUUAACUUUCUUCAGUAUCUCUUUUAGAAAUACUGACUAA